CAGACAUCCACUAUUCUGGUCAGAGUAGUUAACCCAGAAAUGGACACAAACCCCAACACAAGUGAAUCCCAAGGGUUUCCACAAAGAUCCAUCCACAAAGGCACUGGGAACUACAGUUUCUUUCUUUAUUCAGAAGUUCUCCAGCUGAAUUCACGUGUUGACAAGAUAUGUGCUUCUGAAACCAUGUGAAAUGCACUUGACUCAGGUUCUUAAAUGUACACACAGCCAGCAUGAGAUCAUGGAUGGAAGAUGAAGAACCCAGAGGGAGGGGUCUCAUCUUAGAGGGACAAUAAAGUUGAGAGAGUAUGUUACCAUGCUGAUAGAACUUUGCCACCAAAAUAACAUUUGGUGUAGGGAAACCUACACUGCACCAAUGAGAUUUCUUAUAAUUUGAUUAGGCGACAUUGGAGACUUGGCAUUCAUUGGCCUACUGAGAAC